rnacentral:rRNA from 1 species
GAUGAACGCUGACGGCGUGCCUAAUACAUGCAAGUCGAGCGAAUGGAUUAAGAGCUUGCUCUUAUGAAGUUAGCGGCGGACGGGUGAGUAACACGUGGGUAACCUGCCCAUAAGACUGAGAUAACUCCGGGAGACCGGGGCUAAUACCGGAUAACAUUUUGAACCGCAUGGUUCGAAAUUGAAAGGCGGCUUCGGCUGUCACUUAUGGAUGGACCCGCGUCGCAUUAGCUAGUUGGUGAGGUAACGGCUCACCAAGGCAACGAUGCGUAGCCGACCUGAGAGGGUGAUCGGCCACACUGGGACUGAGACACGGCCCAGACUCCUACGGGAGGCAGCAGUAGGGAAUCUUCCGCAAUGGACGAAAGUCUGACGGAGCAACGCCGCGUGAGUGAUGAAGGCUUUCGGGUCGUAAAACUCUGUUGUUAGGGAAGAACAAGUGCUAGUUGAAUAAGCUGGCACCUUGACGGUACCUAACCAGAAAGCCACGGCUAACUACGUGCCAGCCGCCGCAGUAA